rfam:Flavobacterium sp. A45 NODE_16_length_71966_cov_11.5319_ID_31, whole genome shotgun sequence.
CCCUAGCCCCGAUAGCAGUGGAAAUCCUUUUUAUUUUUCCUUUAAAAAUAAAAAGAUUGCAACGAAUAGCGGGAAAUAGC